CGGCAUAGUCUACGGACACCUGUCGAGGUGCUGCAUGGUUGUCGUCAGCUCGUGCCGUGAGGUGUCGGCUUAAGUGCCAUAACGAGCGCAACCCCUGCGGACAGUUACCAUCAAGUAAAGUUGGGGACUCUGUCCGGACUGCCACCGCAAGGUGUGAGGAAGGGGGAGGUAGACGUACAAUACAGCACGGCCCGUUACCGUUCCGGGGUCCGGGACAACACGUCGGUUUACUAACUAGGCGGUCGGUACGAAACGAAGGUAGUUCCGGUGGGUAGGGGCGAACGGACGACAACAGGGGAAGGUUAGGUG
rnacentral:rRNA from 1 species